rnacentral:rRNA from 1 species
UGGGGAAUAUUGCACAAUGGGGGAAACCCUGAUGCAGCGACGCCGCGUGAGCGAAGAAGGUUUUCGAAUCGUAAAGCUCUGUCCUAUGGGAAGAUAAUGACGGUACCAUAGGAGGAAGCCCCGGCUAACUACGUGCCAGCAGCCGCGGUAAUACGUAGGGGGCAAGCGUUGUCCGGAAUCACUGGGCGUAAAGGGUUCGCAGGCGGAAAUGCAAGUCAGUUGUGAAAGGCAGAGGCUCAACCUCUGUAAGCAAUUGAAACUGUAUUUCUUGAGAUGUGGAGAGGCAAGUAGAAUUCCUAGUGUAGCGGUGAAAUGCGUAGAUAUUAGGAAGAAUACCGGUGGCGAAGGCGACUUGCUGGACACAAACUGACGCUGAGGAACGAAAGCGUGGGUAGCAAACAGG